CAGCCGCCACGGUAAUACAGAGGGUGCAAGCGUUAAUCGGAAUUACUGGGCGUAAAGCGCGCGUAGGUGGUUUGUUAAGUUGGAUGUGAAAUCCCCGGGCUCAACCUGGGAACUGCAUCCAAAACUGGCAAGCUAGAGUAUGGUAGAGGGUGGUGGAAUUUCCUGUGUAGCGGUGAAAUGCGUAGAUAUAGGAAGGAACACCAGUGGCGAAGGCGACCACCUGGACUGAUACUGACACUGAGGUGCGAAAGCGUGGGGAGCAAACAGGAUUAGAUACCCGAGUAGUCCCUGUCUCUUAUAC
rnacentral:rRNA from 1 species